GGGGGGGGGUCUCAGUGGUUAGGAGCACUGACUGCUCUUUCAGAGGACCAGGGUUCAAUUCCCUGCACCCUCA
rnacentral:tRNA from 1 species